AGAAAUAUCCAAUUCUCUAACUAUUCUUUAAAAAAUGAAGUAGACUUCCCUUGUCCGAAUGAGAAAUGCGUGUUUUCUUUUACAUUCUGGCAAUUGCACUGUAAAGCAGAACACCACCACGCCUGGGCUAACAGGGCUUGAGGCACUGCUCGUCUUCCCAGCUCUCUGCUCUCUGAACUUGGGUUGACUUCAUCCAGAGUGAGUUCUUCCCUUGGGAAAAAGAGCAAAACCGUGUGGUCGGAUGGGUCUGUGCUCCCUGUGCUGUUAAUGCAGUGUGUUUCCUGAGCUCAGUCCUGCUGUCUCUGUGAACUCUGCAGGUAGAGACGGACUUUAAGGAAGCAGUGGGUGUUUGCAAGAGCUGAUGGCCUCAUCCCAAAAUCUGUGCAGAGCUGAUGCACAGGCUUCUUGUUCAAGGACGUUGACAUGGUUGAUCAGGAUGCACGCUGCCCUCCAGCUCCAUGUGCCUCAUCCAGGGCAGGGCUGUGUUUCUGUGGUCACAUUCAAACAUAUUCCAUCUUGCGACCCACCAAUACUUCCUCUGCAAAGUUAAAGAGGAGGGUAACGACUGUGUCUACAAGCACUCAGUGGAGAUUCCUGUUGCAGAAGAUGACUUCCAAUCUGGGAAUGCCUGUUCUGAACCCCUGCAGCCCCACACCCUGGGGCAGUGUGCCCAGGACUGUUUUCCUGCUGUGCCCAAAGGACACAGCCUCACAUUUUGGCAUCUCUGCUGCUCUAAGCACGGUGUGGCCCUGUGCUUCCCAGCAGUGGCUGUAAUACAAAUAAUAUUGAGGUACUUGGCCUGAGAGGAGUGUGAUACAGCCCCACAUCACUGUGCUUCCAAAGCUAAUAUAUCCCCACAAGGACCCACGGAUAGCAGAAUACAUAAGAGCAGCCCUGAAGCAGCAUAAUUCCAGUCCAGGCUGGAUGUGGCUCUGGGCAGCCUGGUCUGCUGGUUGGCAACCCUGCACAUAGCAGGGGGGUUGAAACUGGAUGAUCAUUGUGGUCCUUUUCAACCCAGGCCAUUCUAUGAUUCUAUGAUAAUUUGUGCCCAGCUGGCCCAGGUAGCCCAGCAGCCCUGGGAGCAGUGAGCAUCCCCUGUGUCCUCCGUCAAGGAGAGCCCAGCUGUCAGCAUGCAUUCACCAAACUUUUCACCUCUGUGUGUGUGUGGAAAAGAAAAUAUAAGCCUUUGGAUUAUUCUUUGUUUUUUCCCACCUCAGGUCUUUUUUCUGGUGCAAUUGCAGUGGUUUAACUGAAGGCGACGUGCAGACUUUCUACUGGUGUGAGUGUGUAGAAAGCUAAGAACACACCUGGAUUUUUGUUCUGAGAUUUUGCAGGAUUAAUGAUGGGAGGGGCUGCUCUACCCAUCCUGAAGGGAGGGAUCUCUGAAAAUCUCCCAGUGAAGAGAGAUCAGAGCAAAGAGUGUAAGGCUUCCAUGGGAGGGAUCACACAUAGGAAAUCGUGGAAUUUGGGUAAGCAUUUUAGAGACAAAUAGGUUCUUCCCGCAAGUCAGCUUCCCUCCCAAAUCAUUAAGAAAGUAUUUAUGUUAUGAGAUUCUCUCUUCCCGUCUAUGUAAUGAAAUGUGCCUUGUCUGUCUUGAGAAAAGCUUAAUGUUCUUUAUGAACACAUGAGCGUAUUUGUUCCUUCCUCCCUCCUCUCAAAAUCACUGUUGACUCCUGGCUUCAUUCUUCCAAAAUUCACAGUUCUUAAUCUUGAAUUCUUCGGGCUUUG
ensembl:lncRNA